rnacentral:rRNA from 1 species
AUAUUAUACACUAGAAAACAAAUCAUUUUAUUCCCUUAGUAUAGGCGAUAAAAAAGGACCUCGGAGCUAUAGAGAAAGUACCGCAAGGGAAAGCUGAAAGAGAAAUGAAACAACCCAGUAAAGCCUAAAAAAGCAAAGAUUUAUCCUUGUACCUUUUGCAUCAUGAUUUAGCCAGUGUAUUCCAAGCAAAGAGUACUUUAGUUUGAUAACCCGAAACUAUGUGAGCUACUCCAAGACAGCCUAUUAAUUAGGGCUAACCCGUCUCUGUGGCAAAAGAGUGGGGAGAGCUUUGAGUAGAGGUGACAGACCUACCGAACUUAGUUAUAGCUGGUUGCCCAAGAAUUGAAUAGAAGUUCAGCCUCCCGGCUUCUUUACUCAUAUAAUAAAUUUUAUUCAUCAGAUAUCAAAAGAAACCGAGAGAGUUAGUCAAAGGGGGUACAGCCCCUUUGAACCAAGACACAACUUUUCCAGAAGGGUAAAGAUCAUAAUAACAUAAGGAAACAUGUUUUAGUGGGCCUGAAAGCAGCCAUCCUUACAGAAAGCGUUAAAGCUCAAGUACUAUUUUUCCUCCUAUUAUCCUGAUCACUUAAUCCCAACCCACUAAUUCUAUUGGGCCAUUCCAUGCACACAUGGAAGUGAUUAUGCUAAUAUGAGUAAUAAGAGAGGCUCCACCUCUCUCCCAGCAUACGUGUAAAUCGGAACGGACCCCCCACCGAACAUUACCGGCCCCAACACCAGAGGGAACUGAGUUAACAAUAUAUAAAACUAGAAAAACACCCAACAACUUAACCGUUAAUCCUACACAGGUAUGCUAUUAAGGAAAGACUAAAAGAAAGAGAAGGAACUCGGCAAAUACAUAAAGCCUCGCCUGUUUACCAAAAACAUCGCCUCUUGAUAAUAAAACAUAAGAGGUCCUGCCUGCCCAGUGACCACGUGUUCAACGGCCGCGGUAUUUUAACCGUGCAAAGGUAGCGCAAUCACUUGUCCUUUAAAUGGGGACCUGUGAUGAAUGGCACGACGAGGGCUUGACUGUCUCCUCUCUCCAGUCAAUGAAAUUGAUCUCCCCGUGCAGAAGCGGGGAUAAAACCAUAAGACGAGAAGACCCUAUGAAGCUUUAGACGCCAUGACAGAUUAUGUUAAACAACCCUUUUAAAGGAAUAAACCUAGUAACCCCUGUCCAAAUGUCUUUGGUUGGGGCGACCGCGGGGAAAUAAAUAACCCCCAUGUGGGACUGAGAGAACUAACUCUCUUACAACCCAGAGCUACAGCUCUAAGUAACAAAAUUUUUGACCUAAAGGAUCCGGCAAUGCCGAUCAACGAACCGAGUUACUCUAGGGAUAACAGCGCAAUCCCCUUUUAGAGUCCCUAUCGACAAGGGGGUUUACGACCUCGAUGUUGGAUCAGGACAUCCUAAUGGUGCAGCCGCUAUUAAGGGUUCGUUUGUUCAACG